GAUUACCAAGGAGUUUGAGGAGAGGAAGAUUGAACUCGAAGCUAAGGCUCUAGAGAUCUAUCAGGCCUCAGACGCUGAUAUCAAGGUCUGCAUUACUUGUCAAAGUUAAAUUUGAUCGAAAUUCCAUAAAGAACAAGGUAUGUUGCUGAAAAAUUUGUACAUAACAAUGUGAUUUCUUAAUCAAGAAACUACUUUUCAUUAAAUAAAAGGCGGCUGACAUUCCAUGUUGAAUCAUUAAAUUGGUUUAGUGGUUCCUCUCCUAUCAAGGCUAGGCAACUGCAGUGCAAGAUUGUUUCAACAAACUUGGUUGGUUCAUUAAUCCGUAUGAAGUAAUUCAUCUCAUGGAGUUCGAGACAAGGGAGGGCAAAGGGAAGAAAUCAUAGACAUGCAUGCUACUAGCAAGAGGAUAUGAAGACAUUAUUGAAAGUAACAAAGUAUUGAACUUCUUAUCACAAAAAAUGGGAAGAAAAGUUUAUCAAGUAAGGUAGGCAAAGCAAAGAAAAGGAGAAGGUUUGUAAAAUGAUUCAAAAGGUGAAAUAUUCAAAUCAUUUAUAUCUAGGAGGAUCUGAUCCCUGUGAUCAUGAGCGUCGUGAUAGAAUGUAAAGAUUAGAUUACUUAAGGUGAGAUUUAAAAAUUUAUACAUUUGCUUAGACGAUGUAAAUAUUUAUUUAUCCCAAUGUUAAUUUUAUGAUACUUUUGGAUUAGAAA